ACCUACCCUUCGGCGGGGGACAACCCAGGGAAACCUGGGCUAAUACCCCAUAACGCAGCGGCCCGGCAUCGGGACAGUUGCUAAGUGAUUCAUCGCCGGAGGACGGGUUUGCGCCGGAUUAGCUAGUUGGGGGGGUAACGGCCCACCAAGGCGACGAUCCGUAGCUGGUCUGAGAGGAUGACCAGCCACACUGGCACUGAGACACGGGCCAGACUCCUACGGGAGGCAGCAGUAGGGAAUAUUGGGCAAUGGGCGCAAGCCUGACCCAGCCACGCCGCGUGGGGGAAGAAGGCCCACAGGGUCGUAAACCCCUUUUGCGCGGGGAUAAGGCCGCCUUGGAGGCGGAUUGAAGGUACCGCGCGAAUAAGCACCGGCAAACUACGUGCCAGCAGCCGCGGUAAUACGUAGGGUGCAAGCGUUGUCCGGAUUUACUGGGUUUAAAGGGUGCGCAGGCGGCCCGCUCAGUCCGAAAUGAAAUGCCGGGGCUCAACCCCGGCGCCGUUUCGGAUACUGGCGGGCUCGAGACGGGGCGAGGAGGCCGGAAUGGACGGUGUAGCGGUGAAAUGCGUAGAGAUCGUCCGGAACGCCGAUUGCGCAGGCAAGCCUCUGGCCCCGCUCUGACGCUCAGGCACGAAAGCGUGGGUAGCGAACAGGAUUAGAUACCCUGGUAGUCCACGCCCUAAACGAUGGGCACUGGCUCUGUGUCCGCAAGGACGCGGGGCUGAGCGAAAGCGUUAAGUGCCCCACCUGGGGAGUACGCUCGCAAGGGUGAAACUCAAAGGAAUUGACGGGGGCCCGCACAAGUGGUGGAGCAUGUGGUUUAAUUCGAUGAUACGCGAGGAACCUUACCUGGGCUAAAUCCCACAGGACCGGCGGUGAAAGCCGCCUUCCAGCAAUGGCCGGUGGGAAGGUGCUGCAUGGCUGUCGUCAGCUCGUGCCGUGAGGUGUUGGGUUAAGUCCCGCAACGAGCGCAACCCCUGUCGCCAGUUGCCACCGGGUAAUGCCGGGCACUCUGGCGAAACUGCCUCCGCAAGGAGCGAGGAAGGAGGGGACGACGUCAAGUCAUCAUGGCCCUUACGCCCAGGACUACACACGUGCUACAAUGGACGGUACAGCGGGACGCGAGGCCGCGAGGCGGAGCAAAUCCCCAAAGCCGUUCCCAGUUCGGAUCGCAGCCUGCAACUCGGCUGCGUGAAGCCGGAAUCACUAGUAAUCGUGGAUCAGCAACGCCACGUGAUACAAUCUCCCGGCCAUGUACUCACCGCCCUACAGGC
rnacentral:rRNA from 1 species